ACAGUACAAUCUGAUCAGGCGGUUAACCUCUUUGGUUUUUGCAGCCGGGCCCCUAUGGGCAGCAGACAAUGACAUGAUACGUCUGCGGGACAGU
rnacentral:ncRNA from 1 species